GACGAACGCUGGCGGCGUGCCUAAUACAUGCAAGUAGAACGCACAGUUUAUACCGUAGCUUGCUACACCAUAGACUGUGAGUUGCGAACGGGUGAGUAACGCGUAGGUAACCUGCCUGGUAGCGGGGGAUAACUAUUGGAAACGAUAGCUAAUACCGCAUAAUAUUAAUUAUUGCAUGAUAAUUAAUUGAAAGGUGCAAUUGCACCACUACCAGAUGGGCCUGCGUUGUAUUAGCUAGUAGGUGAGGUAACGGCUCACCUAGGCGACGAUACAUAGCCGACCUGAGAGGGUGAUCGGCCACACUGGGACUGAGACACGGCCCAGACUCCUACGGGAGGCAGCAGUAGGGAAUCUUCGGCAAUAGACGAAAGUCUGACCGAGCAACGCCGCGUGAGUGAAGAAGGUUUUCGGAUCGUAAAGCUCUGUUGUAAGAGAAGAACGGGUGUGAGAGUGGAAAGUUCACACUGUGACGGUAUCUUACCAGAAAGGGACGGCUAACUACGUG
rnacentral:rRNA from 1 species